rnacentral:rRNA from 1 species
GACGAGGUGGACAAACGUUAUUCGGAAUUACUGGGCGUAAAGCGUGCGUAGGUGGUUUGUUAAGUCUGUUGUGAAAGCCCCGGGCUCAACCUGGGAAUGGCAAUGGAUACUGGCAAGCUAGAGUGCGGUAGAGGGUAGUGGAAUUCCCGGUGUAGCGGUGAAGUGCGUAGAGAUCGGGAGGAACACCGGUGGCGAAGGCGGGUCUCUGGGCAAUUCCUGACGCUGAGGCGCGAAAGCGUGGGGAGCAAACGGG